rnacentral:rRNA from 1 species
AUUGAACGCUGGCGGCAGGCCUAACACAUGCAAGUCGAGCGGAUGAAGGGAGCUUGCUCCUGGAUUCAGCGGCGGACGGGUGAGUAAUGCCUAGGAAUCUGCCUGGUAGUGGGGGAUAACGUCCGGAAACGGGCGCUAAUACCGCAUACGUCCUGAGGGAGAAAGUGGGGGAUCUUCGAACCUCACGCUAUCAGAUGAGCCUAGGUCGGAUUAGCUAGUUGGUGGGGUAAAGGCCUACCAAGGCGACGAUCCGUAACUGGUCUGAGAGGAUGAUCAGUCACACUGGAACUGAGACACGGUCCAGACUCCUACGGGAGGCAGCAGUGGGGAAUAUUGGACAAUGGGCGAAAGCCUGAUCCAGCCAUGCCGCGUGUGUGAAGAAGGUCUUCGGAUUGUAAAGCACUUUAAGUUGGGAGGAAGGACAGUAAGUUAAUACCUUGCUGUUUUGACGUUACCAACAGAAUAAGCACCGGCUAACUUCGUG